GUGCCAGCAGCCGCGGUAAUACGUAGGUGGCAAGCGUUGUCCGGAAUUAUUGGGCGUAAAGCGCGCGCAGGUGGUCUCUUAAGUCUGAUGUGAAAGCCCCCGGCUCAACCGGGGAGGGUCAUUGGAAACUGGGAGACUUGAGUGCAGGAGAGAAGAGUGGAAUUCCACGUGUAGCGGUGAAAUGCGUAGAGAUGUGGAGGAACACCAGUGGCGAAGGCGACUCUGUUGGCCUGUAACUGACACUGAGGCGCGAAAGCGUGGGGAGCAAA
rnacentral:rRNA from 1 species